rnacentral:rRNA from 1 species
UACGAAGGGGGCUAGCGUUGUUCGGAAUUACUGGGCGUAAAGCGCACGUAGGCGGAUACUUAAGUUAGGGGUGAAAUCCCAGGGCUCAACCCUGGAACUGCCUUUAAUACUGGGUAUCUCGAGUCCGAGAGAGGUGAGUGGAAUUCCGAGUGUAGAGGUGAAAUUCGUAGAUAUUCGGAGGAACACCAGUGGCGAAGGCGGCUCACUGGCUCGGUACUGACGCUGAGGUGACGAAAGCGUGGGGGAGCAAACAGG